CUCACUGUAACACUUGCUUGUAAUCUGAAACUGUGCUUUAAGAUGUGUUUUUCUUGCACUUAACAGUCUGCUACAGGUUAUCAGCAGGAUCCCCACAUGAGGAACAGAAACCAUUUGCCCUCAAAGCCAAAACCCUUUUUCCUGUACCUUAAACCAAGCUCCUCUGUGCUACAAGGUGAUAGAUAAUCCAUGAGAGAAGAUCGUGGAAACUUCAGGAAACAGAGAGGCCCCUGCAAUCAAGCACAUCCCUGGCACCUCUUCAGUGGAAGCUCCUCUGACACCCAUCAAGUUGGUCGUCAUUAAUGCCUUAUUAAGAGAAGAAUCUUCUGGAGAAACCCGAGCAUCAAAUGAGCAGGGACACUAAAGACAGUGAAUUCACCAUGGCAUCUAACAUGUGCUCAGCUGGAGGGAACAAGAGCUUGCAAUCAAACUCUCAUAAGUACUGAGGGACCUUGGCUGUUUUACAUAUCAAGAAGCACUGAGGUAAGAUACUAAUUCUAUGACUCUGAUGUCAUCCUUUGGUUUGUCAUGCUCGGGACAUCCUACCACAGGCCUGCA
rnacentral:lncRNA from 1 species